AUCUCCUGUGAGGGUGUGGGUGGGGAGAGGUGGAGAGUGAGUUGGACAGACAGGCAUCAGCUGAUGCUGGGACCAUGGAGGGGACAGAGGAUAUUUAUGUAAAUCAAGAUCUGCCUUCGAAGCCAGGGCUAAGAAGAAAGGAGCCAGAACAGGUGCCCAGAGAUUUACAGAUGAGGAUUACCCCGACUAUGAGAACAUCUCAAUACCCUCAAGGAGCAAGGAUGGUGCUCUGGAGAGUCAAUCAGUGCCCAUCCAGUGUGCCCCGAGCAAACGCCCAGGACCCUCCUCCACGCAGAAAUUGAUCCUGUGUCUUUACCUCCUCCUGGGCCUGAGCUUCCUGCUGGGCAUUAUUCUCUUGUCCCUGGUCCUGGUGAAAAGCUCUGAGUUUUCCCAGAAGCUCAACAUUUUGAAGUGGGAGCUGAGGAAUGUUUCUAGCACCCUCCACAAGGAGCAUGAGAACAUAAAGAAAUUGGAGACUGAGAUUGCUGCAAUAAAUAAAAAAACUAAUUCCUAUGAAAAGAUGGCAAGCCAGCUUAGAUCAGACCUGACCAAAAAUACUAAUACCUUGGAUCGUUUGAAGAAUCAAGUGGAAAAUUUGAAUAAGGCUCCACAACCAGGACCAAAUCCCAGUGCUAAUUCAACCUGAUAAUGAAGGAGACAAGGCUUCCAUCUGGGAAACGGGGCUUGUCCUAGAAGUUGGUGAGGCUGGAUCCCUCUGGCCUCAGUUUCCCUCUUGUGAUAUGGGUGUGUUUGUGUACUUGUGAUCAGUAUGUAAUGUGCUUUAAGGUACUCAAAGGAAAAGAAAAAUUAAACUUUGGACAUCAUUCUCCAGAUCAUGUCUAGUGCACAGUUUUAUUGGGUGUGUCCAGGGUGG
rnacentral:lncRNA from 1 species